rnacentral:rRNA from 1 species
GAUGAACGCUGGCGGCGUGCUUAACACAUGCAAGUCGAACGAAGCACUUUAUUUGAUUUCCUUCGGGACUGAUUAUUUUGUGACUGAGUGGCGGACGGGUGAGUAACGCGUGGGUAACCUGCCUUGUACAGGGGGAUAACAGUUGGAAACGGCUGCUAAUACCGCAUAAGCGCACGGCAUCGCAUGAUGCAGUGUGAAAAACUCCGGUGGUAUAAGAUGGACCCGCGUUGGAUUAGCUAGUUGGUGGGGUAACGGCCCACCAAGGCGACGAUCCGUAGCCGACCUGAGAGGGUGACCGGCCACAUUGGGACUGAGACACGGCCCAAACUCCUACGGGAGGCAGCAGUGGGGAAUAUUGCACAAUGGGCGAAAGCCUGAUGCAGCGACGCCGCGUGAGCGAAGAAGUAUUUCGGUAUGUAAAGCUCUAUCAGCAGGGAAGAUAAUGACGGUACCUGACUAAGAAGCACCG